AUUGAACGCUGGCGGCAGGCCUAACACAUGCAAGUCGAGCGAGCGGCGGACGGGUGAGAAAUGUAUGGGGACUGCCCGAUAGAGGGGGAUAACUACUGGAAACGGUAGCUAAUACCGCAUACUAUCGGAUAACCCAUAUGGGAUUAACUAGUAGGUGAGGUAAUGGCUCACCUAGGCGACGAUCCCUAGCUGGUCUGAGAGGAUGAUCAGCCAAACGGGGAAUGAAAAACGGCCAGUACUCCUACGGAGGCAGCAGGGGGGAAUAGUGCACAAAGGGCGCAAGCCGGAGGCAGCCAUGCCGCGUGUAUGAAGAAGGCUCUAGGGUUGUAAAGGACUUUCAGUCGGGAGGCGUUACCGAAAGAAAAAGCACCGGCUAACUCCGUGCCAGCAGCCGCGGUAAUUC
rnacentral:rRNA from 1 species